AUGCUCGCUUCAGUACGUAUGCUAAAACUGGAAUGAUACAAAGAAGAUUAGCAUGGCCCCUGCACAAGAAUGACAUGCUUUAUAAAAAAAAAAAAUUUUA
rnacentral:snRNA from 1 species